UACUAAAUGGGGACUGUCAGACAUCU
rnacentral:piRNA from 1 species